UGCCAGCCGCCGCGGUAAUACGGAGGGUGCGAGCGUUAUCCGGAAUUAUUGGGUUUAAAGGGUGUGUAGGUGGACGAUUAAGUCAGAGGUGAAAUGUCAUAGCUUAACUAUGGCGCUGCCUUUGAUACUGGUUGUCUUGAGUUCUGUAGAGGUAAGCGGAAUUUAUAAUGUAGCGGUGAAAUGCAUAGAUAUUAUAAAGAACUCCUAUUGCGAAGGCAGCUUACUGGACAGAUACUGACGCUGAUGCACGAAAGUGUGGGUAGCGAACAGGAUUAGAUA
rnacentral:rRNA from 1 species